GGGGGGGGGGGGGGGGGGGCGGGGGGGGGGGGGGGCGGGCGGGGGGGCCCGGGGGUGGGGGGGUGCUCGGGUGGCGCGCGGGUGAGGGACCCGGGAGUAACCUGCCCUUGACUUUGGGAUAACUUCAGGAAACUGGGGCUAAUACCGGGUAGGAGCUCCUGCUGCAUGGUGGGGGUUGGAAAGUGUCGGCGGUUGGGGAUGGCCUCGCGGCUUAUCAGCUUGUUGGUGGGGUAGUGGCUGACCAAGGCUUGGACGGGUAGCCGGCCUGAGAGGGUGACCGGCCACAUUGGGACUGAGAUACGGCCCAGACUCCUACGGGAGGCAGCAGUGGGGAAUAUUGCACAAUGGGCGGAAGCCUGAUGCAGCAACGCCGCGUGCGGGAUGACGGCCUUCGGGUUGUAAACCGCUUUCGCCUGUGACGAAGCGUGAGUGACGGUAAUGGGUAAAGAAGCACCGGCUAACUACGUG
rnacentral:rRNA from 1 species